CUCUCUAGAAGACUACUAGUUUGAUAGGCUGGGUGUGUAAUGGAUGAAAGUCCUUUAGCUGACCAGUACUAAUAGAGCGUUUGGCUUAUCUUUAAUAAAGCAU
rnacentral:rRNA from 1 species